CGGCCGCGUCGACCCAAGGCUUAAAUGCAGACUGACCGAUUUGGAAACAGAUCUUUCGCAAGACAGUUUACAAGGUGCUGCAUGGUUGUCGUCAGCUCGUGCCGUGAGGUGUCAGGUUAAGUCCUAUAACGAGCGCAACCCUCGUGUUUAGUUGCCAUCAUUAAGUUGGGCACUCUAAACAGACUGCCGGUGACAAACCGGAGGAAGGUGGGGAUGACGUCAAGUCAGCAUGCCCCUUACGUCCUGGGCUACACACGUACUACAAUGGUAGGGACAGAGGGCAGCCAACCCGCGAGGGCGAGCUAAUCCCGUAAACCCUGCCUCAGUUCAGAUUGCAGGCUGCAACUCGCCUGCAUGAAGGCGGAAUCGCUAGUAAUCGCAGGUCAGCAUACUGCGGUGAAUCCGUUCCCGGGCCUUGCACACACCGCCGUCGACGCGGCCG
rnacentral:rRNA from 1 species